CCUACGGGAGGCAGCAGUGAGGAAUAUUGGUCAAUGGGCGUAAGCCUGAACCAGCCAAGUCGCGUGAGGGAGGAAGGUUCUAUGGAUCGUAAACCUCUUUUAUAAGGGAAUAAAGUGCGGGGCGUGUCCCGUUUUGUAUGUACCUUAUGAAUAAGGAUCGGCUAACUCCGUGCCAGCAGCCGCGGUAAUACGGAGGAUCCGAGCGUUAUCCGGAUUUAUUGGGUUUAAAGGGUGCGUAGGCGGCUUUUUAAGUCAGCUGUGAAAGUCUGUGGCUCAACCAUAGAAUUGCCGUUGAAACUGGGAGUCUUGAGUAUGUGUGAGGCAGGCGGAAUGCGUGGUGUAGCGGUGAAAUGCUUAGAUAUCACGCAGAACCCCGAUUGCGAAGGCAGCCUGCCAGGCCAUGACUGACGCUGAUGCACGAAAGCGUGGGGAUCAAACAGGAUUAGAUACCCGUGUAGUC
rnacentral:rRNA from 1 species